rnacentral:rRNA from 1 species
CGAGCACGCGCGUGUGGCAUAUCAAUAAGCGGAGGAAAAGAAACUAACAAGGAUUCCCUUAGUAACGGCGAGUGAAGCGGGAAGAGCUCAAAUUUGAAAUCUUCAAGGUUCUACCUUGACGAAUUGUAGUUUAGUAGAAGUGUUUUCUGUUAGUGGAGUGGCAAAAGUUCUUUGGAAUAGGACAUCAUAGAGGGUGAGAAUCCCGUAUUUGGUCAUUCCUCCUAGCGUUGUGAUACACUUUCAACGAGUCGGAUUGUUUGGGAAUGCAGUCCAAAAUGGGUGGUAAAUUUCAUCUAAAGCUAAAUAUUGGCGAGAGACCGAUAGCGAACAAGUACCGUGAGGGAAAGAUGAAAAGAACUUUGAAAAGAGAGUUAAACAGUACGUGAAAUUGUCAAAAGGGAAGCGUUUGACACCAGUGUUGUUUUUCCGAAAAUCAAUUACGAAUGUUUUGUUUUUGAGGAGUUAUGACUUCAUCGGCUUGCUCCUUUCUUUAUGAAACUUUCUUAAUGCACUUUUCGGUUAACAAGUCAACAUCAAUUUCUUUUGUUGUAAAAGGGUAUGAGGAAGGUGGCUUUCUUUUCGGAGAAAGUGUUUAUAGCCUUGUGCCUCUGCAAUCGGAGAGAUUGAGGUCUGCAGCGUAGAUCCUUCGGGGUUAGAUACGUUUGUGCUAAGUUAUAGCUUUUCAUAGACAACUUGUUGACUAUGUUUAGUCUUGUAGCUUACUCGCUGACGCUAUUUUACCUACGCUUAGGAUGUUGAGUAGCGACAUACGCAC